GACGAACGCUGGCGGCGUGCUUAACACAUGCAAGUCGAACGAAGUGGCGAACGGGUGAGUAACGCGUAAUAAACCUGCCCUUCAGAGGGGGACAACAGUUGGAAACGACUGCUAAUACCUCAUACUGAAGGAGGGGAUUUCGUCUGAUUAGCUAGUUGGCUGGGUAACGGCCCACCAAGGCGAUGAUCAGUAGCCGGUCUGAGAGGAUGAACGGCCACAGUGGGACUGGGACACGGCCCAGACUCCUACGGGAGGCAGCAGUGGGGAAUCUUCCGCAAUGGACGAAAGUCUGACGGAGCAACGCCGCGUGAGUGAUGACGGCCUUCGGGUUGUAAAGCUCUGUUAAUCGGGACGCGGUACCGGAAUAGAAAGCCACGGCUAACUACGUGCCAGCAGCCGCGGUAAUAC
rnacentral:rRNA from 1 species